ACCAGACUCCUACGGGAGGCAGCAGUGGGGAAUAUUGCACAAUGGGGGAAACCCUGAUGCAGCAACGCCGCGUGAGUGAGGAAGUAUUUCGGUAUGUAAAGCUCUCUCAGCAGGGAAUAGAAAAGAAGGUACCUGAAAAAGAAGCCCCGGCUAACUACGUGCCAGCAGCCGCGGUAAUACGUAGGGGGCAAGCGUUAUCCGGAUUUACUGGGUGUAAGGGGAGCGUAGGCGGAAAGGCAAGUCAGAAGUGAAAGCCCAAGGCUCAACCAUGGGACUGCUCUGGAAACUGCGUCGCUGGAGUACGGGAGGGGCAGGCGGAAUUCCUGGUGUAGCGGUGAAAUGCGUAGAUAUCAGGAGGAACACCGGCGGCGAAGGCGGCCUGCUGGACCGUGACUGACGUUGAGGCUCGAGAGCGUGGGGAGCAAACAGGAUUAGAUACCCGAGUA
rnacentral:rRNA from 1 species